AAGUCGUAACAAGGUUUCCGUAGGUGAACCUGCGGAAGGAUCAUUACUGAGUGUUGGGCCCGUGUGGCCCUAACCUCCUCCCUUGUGCUGACACGAAAAUGUUGCUUUGGCGGGAAGCCGGACGGUGGCCUUGAUAGGGCCCCAGCCGGGCGAGCCUAGGGCGGGCCUUGUGCCUGUCCGGGCGGCGCGUCCCGCCAGAGGUCUAACAAACACCAGAACGUCUGAACUUCAAUACAAUAUUAAAACUUUCAACAACGGAUCUCUUGGUUCUG
rnacentral:misc_RNA from 1 species